rnacentral:rRNA from 1 species
UCGGAGGAAAAGAAACCAACUGGGAUUACCUUAGUAACGGCGAGUGAAGCGGUAAAAGCUCAAAUUUGAAAUCUGGUACUUUCAGUGCCCGAGUUGUAAUUUGUAGAAUUUGUCUUUGAUUAGGUCCUUGUCUAUGUUCCUUGGAACAGGACGUCAUAGAGGGUGAGAAUCCCGUUUGGCGAGGAUACCUUUUCUCUGUAAGACUUUUUCGAAGAGUCGAGUUGUUUGGGAAUGCAGCUCAAAGUGGGUGGUAAAUUCCAUCUAAAGCUAAAUAUUGGCGAGAGACCGAUAGCGAACAAGUACAGUGAUGGAAAGAUGAAAAGAACUUUGAAAAGAGAGUGAAAAAGUACGUGAAAUUGUUGAAAGGGAAGGGCAUUUGAUCAGACAUGGUGUUUUUUGCAUGCACUCGCCUCUCGUGGGCUUGGGCCUCUCAAAAAUUUCACUGGGCCAACAUCAAUUCUGGCAGCAGGAUAAAUCAUUAAGAAUGUAGCUACUUCGGUAGUGUUAUAGCUUUUUGGAAUACUGUUAGCCGGGAUUGAGGACUGCGCUUCGGCAAGGAUGUUGGCAUAAUGGUUAAAUGCCGCCCGUCUGA